rnacentral:rRNA from 1 species
CAGUCGCCGCGGUAAUACGUAGGUGGCAAGCGUUGUCCGGAAUUAUUGGGCGUAAAGGGCUCGCAGGCGGUUUCUUAAGUCUGAUGUGAAAGCCCCCGGCUCAACCGGGGAGGGUCAUUGGAAACUGGGAAACUUGAGGGCAGAAGAGGAGAGUGGAAUUCCACGUGUAGCGGCGAAAUGCGUAGAGAUGUGGAGGAACACCAGUGGCGAAGGCGACUCUCUGGUCUGUAACUGACGCUGAGGAGCGAAAGCGUGGGGAGCGAACAGGAUUAGAUACCCGCGUAGUCCCUGUCUCUUAUAC